AUGAGGCAGUAUUGGUGGGGUGUGGAAAAUGGUAAGAGGAAGAUGGCUUGGCUCAGCUGGGAGAAUAUGAUGCUACCCAAAGCUAUGGGGGGCAUGGGGUUUAGAGACAUGUGAGCUUUCAACCAGGCUCUGUUGGCCAAGCAAGCCUAGUGACUACUGGAUUGUCUAGACAACCUUUGUGCCCGCUUACUAAGGGCUAAAUAUUACCCACAUGGGAACUUAUUGGACACUGUUUUCUCCACAAAUUCUUCAGCAGUUUGUAAAGGGAUUGUCCAUGGACUAGAGCUUCUGAAAAAAGGCAUUAUAUGGCGUGUCGGAGAUGGCACCUUAAUCAAGACAUGGAGAGAUGCUUGGAUCCCGCGAGGGCAUAACUUUCGGCCGGUCACACCAAAGACAAACUGUCGAUUCAAUUGGGUGGCUGACUUUUCAAGUUAA
rnacentral:rRNA from 1 species